AUUAAAACAUGUCAGACCUUAUUUCCUUUUAAACUGAAUUAGGCCACACCUCACUCAGUCUUUGUUUGCAAUUUGUAUCUAAUUUGGAGACACUUACCUCUCUCCUAAAAUAGCAUGCUGGGAACCUGGGUGCUAGACAGAAGUCUGUGGUUCCAGGGUGGGAUCUCAGGGAGUAAAACACCAGGUUCUGCAGCAUUUCUGGGGCCAGCUGAGGUCACUAAAGAUCCCUGAUAAGAGCCUGAGUACACACCCAUUGUUUUCUUAUAUGGCUGUAAAAUGGCUUCAAGAACAUUUCUUCAAAUUCUACAAAUAAGUGAAUCGAGGCCUACAGCACGAAAGGUUGUAAAAUAUAUUCAUCUUGCAGUUUUCAGAAGACUACACACAUUCUGAGAAUAUCCAUCAUUAUCAUAACUAAGGAUGAUUCAUUUUCAAAAUGACAUUAAAGUUUGUUUCUGUGCUAAAAGGAUAUUGUGACUGUUGAAUAUCAAAUAUAGAGAAAGAGCAAAAUCACAGGAUUCUUCUGCCUGUCUGCCAUUAAAGGCCAUUAUUUUUGUAAUGGUGAGAGGCAGGAUACUGCUUAGGUGAACGGUGCCUAUGAUAAGGUUGGUUAUUCCUGUCCAUUACACAAGUGAGAGAAUUGUUGUAGCUGGAAUAUGUCUUACUCUCUAAACUGUGUACUUGUCCACACUGAGCCAAAAAAGUCCAUGAUAUGGGGCAUGCUUCAGCCACUGUUGUCCUAGAGCAGCCAGGUACCGGCAGAGAACUCCAUCUGAAGUAGGUGAAGAAGAGGAUGGGAAAUAACCCCUUUCCGUUGGCUCUCCCAUAGCAGUUCCUUGUCUGCUCUGGAUCCCUGGUAGAGACAGGAAGGGUUUUUGAGGUUGCCACCUUGAAAUAUGUAACUCCCCAAGAAUGGGGUGUGCUAGGAGAAAGGCAUGAUCUGUUGUGGAGUCUGUAGUCACUGCAAGGAUCAGAGACAAUGCACACAGUUAUGCAAUCAUUAUGAUGUAUCUGUUAUAAUGGCUUUUAAGUCUUUUACUAGCACCAAACA